ACGUCCUGCCAAACCCGUUCCGCC
rnacentral:siRNA from 1 species